UAUAAACAAUUGCACCCGUAUCCCGUCUCCUUUCAGCCUCCAUCAUGGGUCCCGAAGCUUUGCAGAAGAAAUUCGAAGAUGAAGUUGAGACUUACAAGAAAUUGCAGAAAGAUCUGACCAAGACCAAUGGCUUGCGCUCCCAGCUUGAUGGCCAAUUGAA